rnacentral:rRNA from 1 species
AUUGAACGCUGGCGGCAGGCCUAACACAUGCAAGUCGAGCGGAGCGGCGGACGGGUGAGUAAUGGCUAGGAAUCUGCCUGGUAGUGGGGGAUAACGUCCGGAAACGGGCGCUAAUACCGCAUACUAUCAGAUGAGCCUAGGUCGGAUUAGCUAGUUGGUGGGGUAAAGGCAUACCAAGGCGACGAUCCGUAACUGGUCUGAGAGGGUGAUCAGUCACACGGGAACGAAGACACGGUCCAGACUCCUACGGGGGGCAGAGGUGGGGAUUAUUGGACAAUGGGCAAAAGCCUGAUCCAGCAAUGCCGCUGGUUUGAAGAAGGUCUUCGGAUUGUAAAGCACUUUAAGUUGGGAGGCGUUACCAACAGAAUAAGCACCGGCUAACUUCGUGCCAGCAGCCGCGGUAAUAC